CAGCAGCCACGGUAAUACGGAGGGGGCUAGCGUUGUUCGGAAUUACUGGGCGUAAAGCGCACGUAGGCUGCUUUGUAGGUCAGAGGUGAAAGCCCAGGGCUCAACACCGGAUGUGCCUUUGAGACUGCAGAGCUAGAAUCGCGGAGAGGUGAGUGGAAUUCCGAGUGUAGAGGUGAAAUUCGUAGAUAUUCGGAAGAACACCAGUGGCGAAGGCGGCUCACUGGCUCAUUCUAGACGCUGAGGUGCGAAAGCGUGGGGAGUAAACGGGAUUAGAUACCCGCGUAGUCCCUGUCUCUUAUAC
rnacentral:rRNA from 1 species